UACGUAGGGCGCAAGCGUUGUCCGGAAUUAUUGGGCGUAAAGAGCUCGUAGGCGGCUUGUCACGUCGAUUGUGAAAGCCCGGGGCUUAACUCCGGGUCUGCAGUCGAUACGGGCUAGCUAGAGUGUGGUAGGGGAGACUGGAAUUCCUGGUGUAGCGGUGAAAUGCGCAGAUAUCAGGAGGAACACCGAUGGCGAAGGCAGGUCUCUGGGCCACUACUGACGCUGAGAAGCGAAAGCAUGGGGAGCGAACAGG
rnacentral:rRNA from 1 species